ACUGUUUCCGCCGCAGCACACGCUAAAAUUGGAACAAUUCAGAGAAUAUUAGCAUGACCCCUACGAAAGGAUGGCACGUAAAUUCAUGAAGUGUUCCAUUUUUAA
rnacentral:snRNA from 1 species